CUCUCGUUCGCUUCUCGCUCUCUCCCUCCCGUCUAGCUUGCUCGCUGCUUUUUUAAUAAUAUUAUUCUAAGCGGGCAUGAGGCGCUGCGGCCCGAGCCCUGAUUGGUCUGGUUAUCUGACCCGGGGCCUGCCCGCGCCAGACAAUAGUCGGAGUCAAAUUAUUCGCCAUGGAGACGCUGUCAGUCACUGGUAACCCGAGCCCCGGCGGGCCAGGCGGCUCCCCCCGGCCGGCUCCGCUGACAGAUCGCCGGGCUCCGCGCAGAGCGGAGGGCGGCCCGAGACAGGAGCCGGAGGCUCUCCAAAAGCCGGGGAGGAGGGCGCAUAUGUAAACACGUGCUGCUGGUUCUCUUCGAGAAGGGCAGAGCUGGGAGAGCUCUGGGAGAGCUGGAUGGAAGAGGUUACCGCCUACUGAGGGGUGGAGGAUGAUGGGAAACUGGCCUUUCCAUCUCAUGCUUGCAAAUCACUGCUGACCUGACACCCUCACAGGUAGGGGUGCUGACCCCUGUCCCUCAGCCUCCUUGGCUCAGUUCUGAGCCCCACCCUAUCAUCUGCCCCAUGGAACUUCACUGGCCACUGAACCUGGAUGAAGCCUCAUCUCACUGAGCUAUCUCACAGCCACGUGGAAUGGAUGGGUUAGGGAAAGAACUGCGUUGCCCCCUUGCCCACCACACACAUACAUUAUCGAAGACAUACCUCAAAAUGCCAGUCUAACUGGGGCAAAUGUCUUGUUUCAGAAAAAUAAUGUCAAACACCUCUGUCGAGUCUUUGACUUUGUGAAAAUAAUAAAAUUAGAGAUUCUGGAG
ensembl:lncRNA